AGCGAACGCUGGCGGCAGGCUUAACACAUGCAAGUCGAGCGGGCGCAGCAAUACGUCAGCGGCAGACGGGUGAGUAACGCGUGGGAACAUACCUUUUGGUUCGGAACAACUGAGGGAAACUUCAGCUAAUACCGGAUAAGCCCUUACGGGGAAAGGUUUAUCGCCGAAAGAUUGGCCCGCGUCUGAUUAACUUGUUGGUGAGGUAACGGCUCACCAAGGCGACGAUCAGUAGCUGGUCNGAGAGGAUGAUCAGCCACAUUGGGACUGAGACACGGCCCAAACUCCUACGGGAGGCAGCAGUGGGGAAUAUUGGACAAUGGGCGCAAGCCUGAUCCAGCCAUGCCGCGUGAGUGAUGAAGGCCCUAGGGUUGUAAAGCUCUUUUGUGCGGGAAGAUAAUGACGGUACCGCAAGAAUAAGCCCC
rnacentral:rRNA from 1 species